GGCGGAUGUACCCAAGUGGAUCAGGGCAGG
rnacentral:tRNA from 1 species